rnacentral:lncRNA from 1 species
AGGUAACAUUCUGGGUAUGUUGUCCAUCACUAGCAGCACCAUAUCACCAGGUAACAUUCUGGGUAUGUUGUCUAUCAGCACCAUAUCACCAGGUAACAUUCUGGGUGUGUUGUCUAUCAGCACCAUAUCACCAGGUAACAUUCUGGGUGUGUUGUCUAUCAGCACCAUAUCACCAGGUAACAUUCUGGGUGUGUUGUCUAUCAGCACCAUAUCACCAGGUAACAUUCUGGGUAUGUUGUCUAUCAGCACCAUAUCACGAGGUAACAUUCUGGGUGUGUUGUCUAUCACUAGCAGCACCAAUUCACCAGGUAACAUUCUGAGUAUGUUGUCUAUCACUAGCAGCACCAUAUCACCAGGUAACAUUCUAGGUGUGUUGUCCAUCACUAGCAGCAUCAUAUCACCAGGUAACAUUCUGGGUGUGUUGUCCAUCACUAGCAGCACCAUAUCACCAAGUAACAUUCUGGGUAUGUUGUCUAUCAGCACCAUAUCACCAGGUAACAUUCUGGGUAUGUUGUCUAUCAGCACCAUAUCACCAGGUAACACUCUGGCUGUGUUGUCUAUCAGCACCAUAUCACCAGGUAACAUUCGGAGUAUGUUGUCAAUCAGCACCAUAUCACCAGGUAACAUUCUGGGUGUGUUGUCUAUCAGCACCAUAUCACCAGGUAACAUUCUGAGUAUGUUGUUUAUCACUAGCAGCACCAUAUCAUCAGGUAACAUUCUGAGUAUGUUGUCUAUCACUAUCAGCACCAUAUCACCAGGUAACAUUCUGAGUAUGUUGUCUAUCACUAGCAGCACCAUAUCACCAGGUAACAUUCUGGGUGUGUUGUCCAUCACUAGCAGCACCAUAUCAUCAGGUAACAUUCUGGGUAUGUUGUCUAGCAGCACCAUAUCACCAGGUAACAUUCUGGGUGUGUUGGCAAUCAGCACCAUAUCACCAGGUAACAUUCUGGGUGUGUUGUCUAUCAGCACCAUAUCACCAGGUAACAUUCUGGGUGUGUUGUCUAUCAGCACCAUAUCACCAGGUAACAUUCUGGGUAUGUUGUCUAUCAGCACCAUAUC